UGAGACAUUCAGGAAUUAGGGGAUCAUUUAAAAAUUUUAUAUGCUUGGACUAUGCAAGAAUUUGUCGAUAUUUCCGAUUGAAUCCUCGUGUUCCUGAAUCUUCUAUAGGAAGAAAUUGCCAUUCCCUUCCUCCGCAA